CAGCACGGCUGCUUCGGUCACUUCGCUGAAGCUUUCGGACAUCUGGUGGAUGGGUUGAGUCCGUGGAACGUUCACAGCCCCAGUAUAAGUAAAGAAGACGAUGAGAGUCAAGUGUUGAAAACUUAUGCCUGCUAUAUCCAAUAUUGGGCAACAACAACAGCUGGAGGACCAGCAUGAUGUUGCCUGCCGUGCUCAUCUGUGAGUGGGCAAUCUCAGCAUAUGGCAUUUUCUGCACUCUUGGCAAGGCGUCCAUCAGCAAACCUUCUAAAGCCAACUGCCGAGCUUGGAUGUUUACCAAACAACAACAAAUUAAAAAUGGCAACAGAUCAGUGUCAAAAUGAGAUAAAUCAUUUAUACAGUUUUGUGAAUUUAGUGCAGACACGGCAUGUUUUCUCUCACGUAUGUUAAAAAGCAUUUUAUAUGUUAUAAAAAGAAUACUUUUGGCUCUAAUAAAAGCAAUAAAAGUCUUAAAAAAUAAAAAAAUAAGCUUUAAAAAUAGAUCAGUGUCAAAAUGAGAUAAAUCAUUUAAACAGUUAUGUGAAUUUAGUGCAGACACGGCAUGUUUUCUCUCACGUAUAUUAAAAAGCAUUUUAUAGGUUAUAAAAAAAGAAUAAUUUUGGCUCUAAUAAAAACCCUAAAAAAAAAAAAAAAAUAAGCUUUAAAAAUAUAUCAGUGUCAAAAUGCUAUAAAUCAUUUAUCCAGUUUCAUGAAUUUAGUGUAGACACGGCAUGUUUUCUCUCAUGUAUGUUAAAAAAGCAUUUUAUAGGUAAUAAAAAUAAUACUUUGGGCUCUAAUAAAAGCCCUAAAAAAUAAAAAAAAAAGCUUUAAAAAUAGAUCAGUGUCAAAAUGAGAUAAAUCAUUUAUCCAGUUUUGUGAAUUUAGUGCAGACACGGUAUGUUUUCUCUAACAUAUGUUAAAAAGCUUUUUAUAUGUUAUAAAAAAGACUACUUUUGGCUCUAAUAAAAGCAAUAAAAGCCCUAAAAAUAAAAAAUAGGCUUUAAAAAUAAUACUUUUGUUGAAAUAUUUGCUCUUAGUACUUUUGUUUACAUUGACCCCUUUGCUUCUCCAAAGUUUGUCUCUGUGAAUCAUUUACAUUGCCAGCAACUCUUUCCCUAAAAAAAUGCACUUUACUUCUGUGGGAAAUUCAUUUGGG